UUCAGGGCCAAGGAAGGCUCCGGAGCUCUCUUCCCCCAAACCUGUUUUCCCUCUUGCAAAGGAGGCACAUGCUCGCCUGCGUGAGUUUGUUGGCAUUGCUGGACGGGUGACAGCGGCUGUCCCAUCACAGAGGAAACAUCAAGUGUGUGAAGAAACAAACUUUAUGGCGGCAGGAUUUCAUAAGCGCAAAUCCUUUUCUUGGCUGAAGUGUUUCCUCAUGGCCCCUGGAAUCUACAUCAUCUUUUCAGCAUAAAGAAGGACAAAGACUGCCAUGGGACUGCAGCACUUGAAAACAGGAUUUCUGGGGGUGGAGAGAGAGAGAGGAGGCAGAACUUGAGAAACCUUCAUAACGGUGACUUUGGGCUUUUCUCUGAGAGAAACAGCAACAGCACCAUCAUGAUGACAGACCCAGUUAGAAAGUACCCUGCACCCUCCUGUUCUAAGACAUGUUUUAUUGUUUGAGUCGACUGUGAGACAGAUUAGAGGCCCCAGGUGGAAAGUCAUAGUCAUCUGCAUUUAAAUGGGGCAGUUAUAAAAGACCACACGUUUCCAUUGGGAUGAACUCAGAGUGGCUUACAGCAUUUCUAAAACUCAGGAUCACAGCAAUACAACAAAAUAUGACUACAAAUUUAUAACCAAUUUCCAGAUUAGGUGUCAACCAAUAAUAAGGAAAAAACCAACAGAGUGGAAGGGAAAGAAAGGAAGUCCAGCCAGAAUGGAUACUGUUGCUGCCCUCAACCAAAGUUCUGGUGGAACAACUCAGUUUCACAAGCCCUGCAGAACUGACAUAGGCCCGCACAGGCUGUGUUCUACCAGGCUGGAGCCAGAGCCAAAAAGGCUCCGGUUCUGGUUCAUGACACCUGAACAUUUUUCAGGCUGGGGAAUCACCAAUAAGUUGAUAUUCAGUGAUUGCAGCGCUCUUUGGAGGAUGUAUUUGGAGAGGUGGUCCCACAGAUACAAAGGCCCCAGACUGUUUAGGGCUUUAUAGGUUAACACCCAAACCUUGAACCUGAUUCAGUAUUCCGACAUGGUUGAGGAAUGCCAGGAGAUUUGAUUCUGUUGGUAUUGGUUUUGCAGUUGCU